AUAAUCGCUUUGCGUAAUCGUGCAGCUGUUGACGCGCGAGAUUCGCCAAUUCAUUUUGUGGAUAUUUUUAAGGUUUUCUCACUCGGACAUGCUUGCCUACAUGCACAUAACUGUGAGCAUUUGAAGCGACGGCAGUCGACCUUGACCAUGGAAAGAAAUUCGCUUUGUUGUGCGCUAGAAGUUAGCAGGAUCCAUUAUAGUACAUAUUUACUGACAUUUUGGUACAAAAUGGUGGCUAUUGAGCCAAUUUUUGGAGGGACUCGAAGAGCGACGGUCAUUCUGGAAACUGGUUGCAUCUUUAGCUAUACAUACAUAUAUGCGGACUCGCUCGAUUUGAAAAAUGCAGUUUUUCAAUCUGACAGACCAACAUGCUUCAACGCUCCAGCGGAUUUGACAGAAAUUUUUUUAUGUCUUCAAACUCGGAAUAAGCCAGCAAGAAUGUAACAAACGCUAAGCACAAAAUUUAUUCGAAUUAUUAUUAACAAAAACACAAAAUUUAAUUCGAAGAGCAAGUUGAGAAUAUUUCUUUGCUAUUUAAUUUAUAUUUCAACAGGAAGUACAUUUCGAUUGUUGAAGACAGUAUACGUAUUUUGAAUUGUUUUUGAAA